CUGACUGCAGAGAGGAUGACAGAGAACAGUGGACACACAGUUUAACAUGAUGGACUAUAGGACAGGACUGCUGCUGUUAACUAUCUGCUGGGCAGGUGUUGAUGGUCAGACUCUGACAGAAUCUGAACCAGUGGUUAAAAGGCCUGGAGAAUCUCACAGAUUGACCUGUACAGCCUCUGGAUUCACAUUCAGCAGCUACGAGAUGCACUGGGUCAGACAGGCUCCUGGAAAAGGACUGGAGUGGAUUGCUUAUAUCGACAGUGGCAGUGGCAGUAGCAAAUACUACUCUCAGUCAGUUCAAGGCCGGUGUACCAUCUCCAGAGACAACAGCAGACAGCAGGUGUAUCUGCAGAUGAACAGUCUGAAGACUGAAGAUUCUGCUGUUUAUUAUUGUGCUCGAGAGCCACAGUGACUGGAGUUGGUUGAGCAGCUGUACAAAAUCCUACAGUA